rnacentral:rRNA from 1 species
AACGCUGGCGGCACGCUUAACACAUGCAAGUCGAACGAGAUCUUCGGAUCUAGUGGCAGACGGGUGAGUAACGCGUGGGAACCUGCCCAGUAGUAGAGAAUAACUUGGGGAAACUUAAGCUAAUACUUUAUACGUCCUUCGGGAGAAAGCUUUAUGCGCUAUUGGAUGGGCCCGCGUUAGAUUAGUUUGUUGGUGAGGUAACGGCUCACCAAGGCGACGAUCUAUAGCUGGUCUGAGAGGAUGAUCAGCCACACUGGGACUGAGACACGGCCCAGACUCCUACGGGAGGCAGCAGUGGGGAAUAUUGGACAAUGGGGGCAACCCUGAUCCAGCGAUGCCGCGUGAGUGAUGAAGGCCCUAGGGUUGUAAAACUCUUUCGUCAGGGAAGAUAAUGACGGUACCUGAAGAAGAAGAUCCGGCUAA